GUUUCUUUAAUAACUUCGCGUAGGCUCGACGGAUCGCCGAACCGACUUCGCCAACGCGUUCGUUUACCUAGCAAUUAGGUUUACGGAGGGUCAAAUAAGAUCAAACUCUACUAUUUUACAAAACCCCAUUCGGAGCCCUAAUAUGCAAUUAACCUCCAAAUAAUCCAAAUUAAAUGGAGCAACAUGCUAACAAUGCUCAUUAGAGGCUAUUAGAACACUUAAAGCUAAGGAUUAAGCCAAAUCCCAAAAGCUUACCACAAUGUGAACGCCACGACGAAAACACGCCGCUCCAACGGGCGCACGAAAGCUCGAUCCGUCGCCUCCAACGCGUUCGCAAGCAUCUUCUCCGCCAACGCCGCGAAUUUGAGCGAGAGAUUUAGAGAGAUGAGAGAGA
rnacentral:lncRNA from 1 species